rnacentral:ribozyme from 2 species
UCACUAACUCCGCUUGUAGCCCCUCCAAGGGCUACUGCCGGUCCCAAGCCCGGGUAAAGGAGGAGGGUUGU